rnacentral:rRNA from 1 species
GGAGGAAUAUUGGGUCAAUGGGUCGGAAGACUGAACCAGCCAUGCCGCGUGCAGGAAGGAGGUCCUAUGGAUUGUAAACUGCUUUUUUCGGGGAAUAAUAAGACUUUUGCGAAGGUUGAUGCAGGUACCCGAAGAAUAAGGAUCGGCUAACUCCGUGCCAGCAGCCGCGGUAAUACGGAGGAUUCGAGCGUUAUCCGGAUUUAUUGGGUUUAAAGGGUGCGUAGGCGGUUAGAUAAGUUUGAGGUUAAAUGCUUCUGCUCAACAGGAGUUUGCCUUGAAAACUGUCUGACUAGGAUGUAAACGGCGCAGGCGGAAUGAAUCAUGUAGCGGUGACAUGCAUAGAUAUGA